UACGUAGGGUGCAAGCGUUAAUCGGAAUUACUGGGCGUAAAGAGCUCGUAGGCGGUCUGUCGCGUCGAAUGUGAAAUCCCGAGGCUCAACCUCGGGCCUGCAGUGGGUACGGGCAGACUGGAGUGCGGUAGGGGAGAAUGGAAUUCCUGGUGUAGCGGUGGAAUGCGCAGAUAUCAGGAGGAACACCGAUGGCGAAGGCAGUUCUCUGGGCCGUAACUGACGCUGAGGAGCGAAAGCGUGGGGAGCGAACAGG
rnacentral:rRNA from 1 species